UACGGGGGGGGCAAGCGUUGUUCGGAUUUACUGGGCGUAAAGGGCGCGUAGGCGGCGCAACAAGUCACUUGUGAAAUCUCCGGGCUUAACUCGGAGCGGCCAAGUGAUACUGUCGUGCUAGAGUGCGGAAGGGGCAACUGGAAUUCUCGGUGUAGCGGUGAAAUGCGUAGAUAUCGAGAGGAACACCUGCGGCGAAGGCGGGUUGCUGGGCCGACACUGACGCUGAGGCACGAAAGCGUGGGGAGCGAACGGG
rnacentral:rRNA from 1 species